rnacentral:lncRNA from 1 species
GGCGGGGGCAGCGCCGGCUGCGGAGGGGAACGCUUGGCUCUCCGGGACCGGCGCCUGCCGCGGUGCGGAUGCGUAUGGACGAAUCCUCGUGAAAACAGCUCCCGACGUUUUCCCCCACCCCCCCAAAAAAAAACCAAACCCAAACAAACCACCCACUUGGAUAAUUAAAACGGUUUUUGGCAGUAUCCAGUGUUGCUAAGGAUGAUUUAAUUCCUACUACCAGUCCUAUUCCCAGAGGUAGCUUCUCCAAGGUGGCUCCUGACAUAGGAAAUGAAUUCUGCAGCAGAAGAGGAGCACAGGGACGUGUCGCCUCCACUCCCCUUCCAGCAAACUCUUCUGAGACCAAUUCUCCCUCAAAGCUGUCCUGGUAACUGCUACAGGUAAA